UACGUAGGGGGCAAGCGUUGUCCGGAAUCAUUGGGCGUAAAGAGCGUGUAGGUGGCUCGGUAAGUCCGCUGUGAAAGUCCAGGGCUCAACCCUGGAAAGCCGGUGGAAACUGUCGAGCUCGAGUCCGGAAGAGGCGAGUGGAAUUCCUGGUGUAGCGGUGAAAUGCGCAGAUAUCAGGAGGAACACCGAUGGCGAAGGCAGGCCUCUGGGCAUUAACUGACGCUGAGGAGCGAAAGCAUGGGGAGCGAACAGG
rnacentral:rRNA from 1 species